rnacentral:rRNA from 1 species
UCAGGAUGAACGCUGGCGGCGUGCUUAACACAUGCAAGUCGAACGGGAAAUAUUUUAUUGAAACUUCGGUCGAUUUAAUUUAUUUCUAGUGGCGGACGGGUGAGUAACGCGUGGGUAACCUGCCUUAUACUGGGGGAUAACAGCCAGAAAUGACUGCUAAUACCGCAUAAGCGCACAGAACCGCAUGGUUCCGUGUGAAAAACUCCGGUGGUAUAAGAUGGACCCGCGUUGGAUUAGCUAGUUGGCAGGGCAGCGGCCUACCAAGGCGACGAUCCAUAGCCGGCCUGAGAGGGUGAACGGCCACAUUGGGACUGAGACACGGCCCAGACUCCUACGGGAGGCAGCAGUGGGGAAUAUUGCACAAUGGGGGAAAACCUGAUGCAGCGACGCCGCGUGAAAGGAAAAAUUAUCUCGGUAUGUAAACUUCUUUCAGCAGGGAAGAUAAUGACGGUACCUGACUAAGAAGCCCCGGCUAACUACGUGCCAGCAGCCGCGGUAAUACGUAGGGGGCAAGCUUUAUCCGGAUUUACUGGGUGUAAAGGGAGCGUAGACGGCGCAGCAAGUCUGAUGUGAAAGGCAGGGGCUUAACCCCUGGACUGCAUUGGAAACUGCUGUGCUUGAGUGCCGGAGGGGUAAGCGGAAUUCCUAGUGUAGCGGUGAAAUGCGUAGAUAUUAGGAGGAACACCAGUGGCGAAGGCGGCUUACUGGACGGUAACUGACGUUGAGGCUCGAAAGCGGGGGGAGCAAACAGGAUUAGAUACCCUGGUAGUCCACGCCGUAAA